GAAGGCCUGUGUAACUUUAGUACACAUCUCCUGAAUGCAACCCAGGUGCUUUAAUUAAGCGAAAACCUCC
rnacentral:tRNA from 1 species